GAUGAACGCUGGCGGCGUGCCUAAUACAUGCAAGUCGAGCGAACAGACGAGGAGCUUGCUCCUCUGACGUUAGCGGCGGACGGGUGAGUAACACGUGUAUAACCUACCUAUAAUACUGGGAUAACUUCGGGAAACCGGAGCUAAUACCGUAUAAUAUAUUGAACCGCAUGGUUCAAUAGUGAAAUACGGUUUUGCUGUCACUUAUAGAUGGAUCCGCGCCGCAUUAGCUAGUUGGUAAGGUAACGGCUUACCAAGGCAACGAUGCGUAGCCGACCUGAGAGGGUGAUCGGCAACACUGGAACUGAGAGACGGUCCAGACUCAUACGGGAGGCAGCAGUAGGGAAUCUUCCGCACUGGGCGAAAGACUGACGGAGCAACGCCGCGUGAGUGAUGAAGGUCUUCGGAUCGUAAAACUCUGUUAUUAGGGAAGAACAAAUGUGUAAGUAACUAUGCACGUCUGGACGGUACCUAAUCAGAAAGCCACGGCUAACUACGU
rnacentral:rRNA from 1 species